rnacentral:rRNA from 1 species
UAAUGUAUGGGGAUCUGCCCGAUAGAGGGGGGUAACUACUGGAAACGGUGGCUAAUACCGCAUAAUGUCUACGGACCAAAGCAGGGGCUCUUCGGACCUUGCACUAUCGGAUGAACCCAUAUGGGAUUAGCUAGUAGGUGGGGUAAAGGCUCACCUAGGCGACGAUCUCUAGCUGGUCUGAGAGGAUGAUCAGCCACAUGGGACUGAGACACGGCCCAG